rnacentral:rRNA from 1 species
AUUGAACGCUGGCGGCAGGCCUAACACAUGCAAGUCGAACGAGUGGCGGACGGGUGAGUAAUGUCUGGGAAACUGCCUGAUGGAGGGGGAUAACUACUGGGAACGGUAGCUAAUACCGCAUACCAUCAGAUGUGCCCAGAUGGGAUUAGCUUGGGGGUGGGGUAACGGCUCACCAAGGCGACGAUCCCUAGCUGGUAUGAGAGGAUGACCGGCAACACGGGAACUGUGACACGGUCCAGAUCCCUACGGGGGGCAGCAGUGGGGAAGUUUGCACAAUGGGCACAGUCCUGAUACAGCCAUGCCGCGUGUAUGAAGAAGGCCGUCGGGUUUUAAAGUACUUUCAUCGGGGAGGCGUUACCCGCAUAAGAAGCACCGGCUAACUCCGUGCCAGCAGCCGCGGUAAUAC